rnacentral:rRNA from 1 species
CCUACGGGAGGCAGCAGUGGGGAAUAUUGGGCAAUGGAGGAAACUCUGACCCAGCGACGCCGCGUGCGGGAUGAAGGCCUUCGGGUUGUAAACCGCUUUCAGUAGGGAAGAAGCGAAAGUGACGGUACCUACAAAAGAAGCACCGGCUAACUAUGUGCCAGCAGCCGCGGUAAUACAUAGGGUGCAAGCGUUGUCCGGAAUUAUUGGGCGUAAAGAGCUCGUAGGUCGUUUGUUACGUCGGAUGUGAAAACCUGAGGCUCAACCUCAGGCCUGCAUUCGAUACGGGCAAACUAGAGUUUGGUAGGGGAGACUGGAAUUCCUGGUGUAGCGGUGGAAUGCGCAGAUAUCAGGAGGAACACCAAUGGCGAAGGCAGGUCUCUGGGCCAAUACUGACACUGAGGAGCGAAAGUCUGGGGAGCGAACAGGAUUAGAUACCCUGGUAG